CUUGCUCUAUCACCCAGGCUUGAGUGCAGUGGCAUGAUCUUGGCCCACUGCAACCUCUGCCUCCUGGGUUCAAGUGAUUCUUGUGCCUCAGUCUCCUGAGUAGCUGGAAUUACAGGCAUGCACCACCACACCCAGCUAAUUUUUGUACUUUGGAGACGGGGUUUCAACAUAUUGGCCAGGCUUGUCUCGAACUCCUGACCUUAAGGGAUCCGCCCAACUCUGCCUCCCAAAGUGCAGGGAUUACAGGCGUGAGCCACCGUGCCCAGCCAGUUCCACCUGAUUUUUAAAAUUGCGUUGGCCAGCAUUGGACACACAGUAAAUGUUUAAUACGUACUUUCCACGUUGAAUCAAAGAAGUUUCCCAUCUUAGCUAUUUCCUUGAAACUUUCCUGAAGUUUGAAACCUAACAGAUCAUCAGUGACGUCCUCAUCACAGUUUCACCUCUGCCUAAUAAAGCACAAAUUACUCUUAAGCAAUGAGGCGCUGUGCAAUUGAAGCCUUUUAUAGCUCCAUUUGUCUGCAGUCACCUAAAUGUCAGUGGAUAGAUGUGUUUGUCAUAGUGUGUGAUAAGUGCAAAUAACCCUUGUUAGUAGUGUCAUUAGAGAUGAAAUAGAUGCAUAGGAACUAAGAGGUCAUAAGCUGUCAGAUUUUACUCUAAGGAAAUACAGAAUGUCAUUUGCACCUGAAAUUGUGCAGAAGUAAAUGGACAAUUCUUCACCCCAAUCUAAUUUGUUUUUCAAAAGCUUUGCAUGUUUACAUUUGUAUAUCCACUACCUUAGCCACGGCAUAGUGAAAUAAACCAUAAAUUAAAAAUAGCUCAGCAUACCACUGAAGAAUCAAUAGAUCUGAAUAUAGUAGCAUAGAAAAAGCUUUGGUUUACUGGAUGUGCCUUCAAGGUGGACCAUGCCCUUUAGGUAGAGGAUUAGUGGAGAACAGAAAUCUCUGCCUCUCUGUGGCUAGAAGUGGAUCUAUGUCAUUGACCUACCUACAAUGGCACUUUUCCUUACUUGAAACUUGGGUAUACAGUGACCUCACCUACUCAUAGAACCUGCAGAAGUGGGAAUUAGUAGAAAAAGGCUUUUGAGUAGCCAAAAAGGAUUUGAUAAAGUUAAUAUUCUAAGUUAGCCUGUUCUCUUACCACAUAGUAUGUCUCCUCAGUUCUUGUUUGCUUGAUGCAAAGUUCUGAGGCUUUGUUCUCUGGUAUUUGUUCCCUAAUGAGUGCCACUAUAUUAUAUUUUGAGCUAGUGACAAGGGACUUACCUUGUCCCUGUUCUACAUCCUUCUAGGCUCUAACUUGUUUGAUGAAACAUGAGUACCUCAGAGAUAUACAUGCUGAGAACGGCCUGGAAGAGUUUUAUUGCCCCUCCCCUGCCCAACUCAUUGAAGGAAACAGGAGGGAGUGAACCCGUCUCCUCUGCUGAAUCCAUUGCAGUCCACUUUUUUGUGUUCUAAUGAGUAUAUUAAAAUUGCAGUCUGAAGUCAUUUCAGAGCUCCUAUCCUUUACUACAAGCUGACUUAGGUGGGACUGCUCCAGCAACUUGAGGCUAAGAGGCCCAGGGUCUGACUUCUCUCCCUGCUUCCCUACUCCUGCUCCAUUAAGGGUGAGAGGUUGGGGAAUUUGCUGUCCUCUUUGUGAUGACUUGUUGCUGCCAAUCUGAUUCCUAAUGCUAUAGAUUUAUUAAGGUUAGAUGGUGGAAGAUUGGGCCCUGAUGACAAUGGAGCCAUCCUGGGUGUUCCUCUGACAGUGAUGAGCCUCCUGGGAGAGGCAGCCACAGCUGAAGCACACACCGCUCCCUUCUGCUGUGGCAGCCCCACGAGCCUGCAAACCCCUAUCUCAUCACAGCCUCGGUUCUCAACUCAGGCUGGCCAGACCUCCAACUGGUGGUGGUUGCUAUUUCAGGCCCAGACAUAAUCAAAUCCAUGUGAAGAAAAGAAAUUUCUUCCUGGGUGGCCCUUUGUAAGAGAAAGAAAAUGUCUUCCAGAAGAGUUCUUUAUGUCUUAAUGGCAGCAGUGAGGAUGCCAGAGUCCAUGGGUUUCUAGAAGACAAGUUUUCAACUGCAGAUACAAACAUUAGGACGUCAAUGAAUCUGUUAGGAGACACCUGGACAGUGUUGAGAACACUGAACCUGGAGGCUAAACCCCCAGCUUUCUAUGCCAGCUGAGAGUCUGUGGGCACAUUCCUCAGCGUCUCUGAACCUCGCGCUCCUCCCCUGUGACAUGUAGAUUGUUAAACCCAUCUCACAGGGCUGUCUUCUGCAUUUAAAGAAUAAAAUAACACAUGAGGGGUCUAUCAAU